UACGGGGGGGGCAAGCGUUGUUCGGAAUUACUGGGCGUAAAGGGCUCGUAGGUGGCCAACUAAGUCAGACGUGAAAUCCCUCGGCUUAACCGGGGAACUGCGUCUGAUACUGGGUGGCUUGAGUUUGGGAGAGGGAUGCGGAAUUCCAGGUGUAGCGGUGAAAUGCGUAGAUAUCUGGAGGAACACCGGUGGCGAAGGCGGCAUCCUGGACCAACACUGACACUGAGUGAGCGAAAGCCAGGGGAGCAAACGGG
rnacentral:rRNA from 1 species